rnacentral:rRNA from 1 species
UACGUAGGGGGCAAGCGUUGUCCGGAAUCAUUGGGCGUAAAGCGCGUGUAGGCGGCUUGACAAGUCUGCUGUGAAAGUCCAGGGCUCAACCCUGGAAUGCCGGUGGAAACUGUCAAGCUAGAGUCCGGAAGAGGCGAGUGGAAUUCCUGGUGUAGCGGUGAAAUGCGCAGAUAUCAGGAGGAACACCAAUGGCGAAGGCAGCUCGCUGGGACGGUACUGACGCUGAGACGCGAAAGCGUGGGGAGCAAACAGG